rnacentral:rRNA from 1 species
UACGAAGGGGGCUAGCGUUGUUCGGAAUUACUGGGCGUAAAGCGCGCGCAGGCGGUUUUCCAAGUCAGUGGUGAAAGCCCGGAGCUCAACUCCGGAACUGCCAUUGAAACUGUUAAACUAGAGGACGAGAGAGGUGAGUGGAAUUCCCAGUGUAGAGGUGAAAUUCGUAGAUAUUCGGAAGAACACCAGUGGCGAAGGCGGCUCACUGGCCCGUUACCGACGCUCAGGCGCGACAGCGUGGGGAGCAAACAGG